AGUGAACGCUGGCGGCGUGCUUAACACAUGCAAGUCGAACGAGAACGGCUUAUAGCUUGCUAUAAUUGUCAGCUAAGUGGCGCACGGGUGAGUAAUGUAUAGGUAAUAUGCCUCUUACUAAGGGAUAACAAAUGGAAACGUUUGCUAAUACCUUAUACUCCUUAUUAACAUAAGUUAAUAAUGGGAAGAUUUAUUGGUAAGAGAUUAGCCUGUAUUGUAUCAGUUAGUUGGUGGGGUAAUGGCUUACCAAGACUAUGACACAUAACUGGUUUGAGAGGAUGAUCAGUCACACUGGAACUGAGACACGGUCCAGACUCCUACGGGAGGCAGCAGUGGGGAAUAUUGCACAAUGGACGAAAGUCUGAUGCAGCAACGCCGCGUGGAGGAUGACACAUUUCGGUGCGUAAACUCCUUUUAUAUGAGAAGAUAAUGACGGUAUUAUAUGAAUAAGCACCGGCUAACUCCGUGCCAGCCGCCGCCGUAA
rnacentral:rRNA from 1 species